rnacentral:tRNA from 1 species
AAUGAACUAGUUUAAACAAAAACAUUAGCCUGUCAGACUAAAGUUAUUUUCAUAAAUGUUCAUUA